rnacentral:rRNA from 1 species
AGCAGUAGGGAAUCUUCGGCAAUGGACGAAAGUCUUACCGAGCAACGCCGCGUGAGUGAAGAAGGUUUUCGGAUCGUAAAACUCUGUUGUUAGAGAAGAACAAGGACGUUAGUAACUGAACGUCCCCUGACGGUAUCUAACCAGAAAGCCACGGCUAACUACGUGCCAGCAGCCGCGGUAAUACGUAGGUGGCAAGCGUUGUCCGGAUUUAUUGGGCGUAAAGCGAGCGCAGGCGGUUUCUUAAGUCUGAUGUGAAAGCCCCCGGCUCAACCGGGGAGGGUCAUUGGAAACUGGGAGACUUGAGUGCAGAAGAGGAGAGUGGAAUUCCAUGUGUAGCGGUGAAAUGCGUAGAUAUAUGGAGGAACACCAGUGGCGAAGGCGGCUCUCUGGUCUGUAACUGACGCUGAGGCUCGAAAGCGUGGGGAGCAAACAGGAUUAGAUACCCUGGUAGUCCACGCCGUAAACGAUGAGUGCUAAGUGUUGGAGGGUUUCCGCCCUUCAGUGCUGCAGCAAACGCAUAAGCACUCCGCCUGGG